rnacentral:rRNA from 1 species
CCUACGGGAGGCAGCAGUGGGGGAUAUUGGACAAUGGGGGGAACCCUGAUCCAGCGACGCCGCGUGAGUGAAGAAGUAUUUCGGUAUGUAAAGCUCUGUCAGCAGGGAAGAAAGAAAUGACGGUACCUGACCAAGAAGCCCCGGCUAACUACGUGCCAGCAGCCGCGGUAAUACGUAGGGGGCAAGCGUUAUCCGGAAUUACUGGGUGUAAAGGGAGCGUAGACGGUUAAGUAAGUCUGGAGUGAAAGGCCGGGGCCCAACCCCGGGACUGCUCUGGAAACUAUUCAACUUGAGUGCAGGGGAGGUAAGCGGAAUUCCUAGUGUAGCGGUGAAAUGCGUAGAUAUUAGGAGGAACACCAGUGGCGAAGGCGGCUUACUGGACUGUAACUGACGUUGAGGCUCGAAAGCGUGGGGAGCAAACAGGAUUAGAUACCCCUGUAGUC